ACACACAAAGUUUGUGAAAACAUCUGGACAUAGUCUAAGCAAGACCACCAAUAGUCUAUGACGAUGCACACAACUAUUCAAAUAGUUUUAUACUCGACAAAGGUUGCACACUUUAGCCACACGACUCGGGAAACUUUCGUGGCAAUCCAUGACUCACGGUAUUUUCCAUACCCGAGGUAAGUACCUCAACAUUGCCAUUCCCAUGAUGAUACUAACAAACCAUCCCUCGUCAUGUAAAUCACAAGUAUCAUCCACAAGGGCAUGCAACGGUGUGCCUGAUGUCUAUG
rnacentral:lncRNA from 1 species